AAUAAUAAUGUAAUAGUAGAAUAAUAUAUCCAAUCAUAUUGUUUAAAAAAAACUUACAAUAUGAAUAUCAUUUCGUAAUUUUUUAAACAACUGACAAUAGCAAAACAACUAUCCAAAGUUCACUAUCCGAAAACACAAUCGUUAGGAAACAUUUUAACUUGCGUCAAACUAUCAGUUCGAAGAUGGAUUUCCUUGUUACUCUUCUUCCAUGGAAAACCCAUUAACCUAUUAAGGAGACAAUCAAAUAUCCAAUUUAGUGCAAUUAAAAUAAUUCAUAAAUAAAUGCACUGCAUCAAAUUAUAAUAGACUAUAACCGUUAUUACGUAGGAAUGUAUGUUCAUGAGUUGCCUCUCUGGUGAUAGCAAGGGACAAGAUAAUCUAUACACCUUAAUUAGUCCACACACAAACCUGCAAAAGUCAGCAAAUAUGAGAUAAAUCAACUUCUUCUAAUGAAUAAUAAUUAUGUCCUUAAUUUUCAUAUCAAUAAUAUACAAGCUUCUAACAAACGACACUUAAUGUGGUGCAUUUAUUCUCAAUCGUAAACCCCAUGUUAGUCAUGAUCUCCAC
rnacentral:lncRNA from 1 species